rnacentral:rRNA from 1 species
GAUGAACGCUGGCGGCGUGCCUAAUACAUGCAAGUCGAGCGAACGGACGAGAAGCUUGCUUUUCUGAUGUUAGCGGCGGACGGGUGAGUAACACGUGGAUAACCUACCUAUAAGACUGGGAUAACUUCGGGAAACCGGAGCUAAUACCGGAUAAUAUUUUGAACCGCAUGGUUCAAAAGUGAAAGACGGUCUUGCUGUCACUUAUAGAUGGAUCCGCGCUGCAUUAGCUAGUUGGUAAGUUAACGGCUUACCAAGGCAACGAUGCAUAGCCGACCUGAGAGGGUGAUCGGCCACACUGGAAAUGAGACACGGUCCAGACUCCUAAGGGAGGCAGCAGGAGGGAAUGUUGCGCAAUGGGCGAAAGCCUGACGGAGCAACGCCGCGUGAGUGAUGAAGGUCUUCGGAUCGUAAAACUCUGUUAUUAGGGAAGAACAGAUGUGUAAGUAACUGUGCACAUCUUGACGGUACCUAAUAAGAAAGCCACGGCUAACUACGUG